AUGGCGUCCUGUAUAUUAUCCCUUGACAAGAUCUUGUCCCAGUCGGUGAAGCGUCUCAGCAUCAGCGGCUGUGAUUUCCUCUGUGAUUGCCGGCCUAGGAUAGCAAUCUCCAGCCUCGUCUGGCUGCUGCUCGACUCUUUCGGUGGUAACGUUCCUUUGCUUGGAAGCAUGCUUUCACUGAAAACGGCACUUGUGAGGCCGGCAGCAUACUCGAGUGAUUGCUGCAAAGGGGGUGAGCUAGGGCAGUGCUGUGGCAGCUGUGCAGAAUGUACUGGCGAUGAUGACCAUAGCGGCCGCUGCGUGCUUCUUGGAGGCAUGUCCACUGCUGUGAAUUUGGAGCUGGUAGCUCACGCCGGAAUGCUUAUUUUUGGAAGAGAUUUGAGGUGGUGUCCUACAUUUAGUAACUUGAAGACAUUGUUACUGAAUGACUGGUGUGUGGCUAUUGACUUCCGUGCACUACUUUGCAUUCUCGAGCAUUCACCUGUUCUUGAGAAGCUCACUCUUCAACUAUGUAAGAGACAGGAAUUUAUAACUGUGCUGGCAGGUAACUGCUAUCCACUGGAAAAAUUACCUGCAAUAUCCGAACACCUUAAUACCGUGGAAAUCAGAUGUAGAGAUAUUGAUGGGAGGGUUUGCAGGAUUUUAAAAUUCUUGAGUCGAUUUGUCAGUGUCACGCAGAUUAACAUCAAACUGAGUGCGCAACUGUCCACAUGCUUCAGUUUCGAGACAUGGCUCUCGGCCUCCCCGGCAAAUGAUGAUGAUUAUUCAUGA
rnacentral:rRNA from 1 species